GGUUAUUCUCAAAGCCAGCGUCGUUGUUGGACACUUCUGAGGACCCAGAGCACUGAUGACCCCUGAGACCACCUCCUGCACCCAUAGCCUUUGUGCCAUGGUGGUGGAGUGACUCUCAGGGGCUUGACCCAGAUAGGAAGGGGCACUUGGAGGGCCGUUGGCUGGGAGGAGCCCGAAAACUGGAAGCAGCCUGGAAAUUUCUGCCUGCAAAGCAGGUGCUCUUCCCCUGAGCUAUAGCUCUCUCCUCCUCCUACAAAUGGCAUUCCAUGCCACUCCUGUUCUAGGAUGGGGUUACCUGACUAGCCCUGAGCCUCUGGACACACACACACAUGCAUGCAGAGCUUUAUCAUUUUAUUUUAUUUUUUUCAAUUUUUAUACUGCCUUUCAUAAGACAUCCAACGGUGGUUUACAAAGGUUACAGUAAAACUCCACAAAAAUCAAAUUUAAAACCUCAAAAUCAGUUAAUAAAAGCCAUAAAACACCCUCGCAAAACCCCAUUGAAAUACAAGCAGAAGCAGGAAAGCGGAGAGACCCAGCAGCCCCUAAGGGAUGUGGGGAAAGCAAGGCACCAUUUAAGUACUGUGUGCGCAAACACUCCUGCGAUCAGUUAUGAACGUGACGUGGCUUGUCACAAGGAAUGCUGGGGGCUGUAGUUUUGUGAGGGAGCUGAACAUUGUCUUCUGAAAGUUACCUUCUGAAGAUGGGGACCUGCCUUAUACCAAGUCCAUCCAGGGAUCCAUCUAGCUCAGUCAUGUCUGUACGGAGUUGCAGAAAGGUGUCUUUACACCCGUACCUGAAGAUACCGAGGUUUCAACUAGAACCUUCUUCGUGCAAAGCAGAUGCUCAUCUGGCAUCACAUGCUCCCUUGCAGAAAAUGGAUUCCUGGUUUCCCAAAAUGGAGCUAGUGAUGACUAUGAAAUCAAUUCAGGUCUAGGAUUCUUCUCAAAUAAUCCAGACAUGAACAGUCUUGUUGCUAAUAUUCCCGCAGCUCAUGUUUGCUGCACAAAAUCUACGGGGUUUUUUUUUAGUCUUUAAAAUGGUUUUGUAUUGUAUUUUGUGUUUUAUUGUAUAUAAAGCCUCGGACUAUAACUCCCAUCACCCCCAUCCCAAUGUCAAAAAGACCAUUUUGGUGGCAUAAUGGGAUUUGUAGUCAUAGGAACAUAGGAAGCUGCCAUUUACUGAGUCAGACCCUUGGUCCUUCUAGCUCAGCAUUGUCUGCUCAGACUGGUAGCGGCUCUCCAAGGAUGCAAGCAGGAAUCUCUCUCAGCCCUAUCUUGGAGAUGCUGCCAAGGAGGGAAUGUGGUACCUUCAGCUCUUCCCAGAGUGGCUCCAUCCCCUGAAGGGAAUAUUUUACAGUGCUCAGACAUUUGGUCUCCCAUUCAAAUGCAACCAGGGCAGAUCCUGCUUCGCAAAGGCGGCAAUUCAAGCUCGCUACCACAAGACCAGCAAACCCAAGGCCAUUGUUUCUAAAGGUGAUGAGAGUUGUCGUCAAACAGCAUCUGGAGACCUGGGUUGGGAAUGCCUGUUGUGCAGGAUUCUGGCAGAGAAAGCCAGUAUCGUAAACAAGGGGAAAGCCUGCAUACAGGCAUGCAUGCACAGAUCUAGCAAUAUAGUUAGGCUUCCCAUCUGCAAAAAACAAAGGAUACCCUGGACAUACUGAAAGCCCUUAAUCAGGAGUUUUAAAGACACAACAUGGGCACUAUGCUACUCCUUAUGACUCAUCUCAAUUCCCAUCCCUCUCUUUGUUGAUACUGUGGUAGACCGUGGGAAUUCCUUGCAGCUGGCUUCUGGGAAAAGCCUCACAGUGGUGAGCCAUCUGACAAACUGUGUGGCUGUGCAGAACGCGAGCUCUGGCAGGCGGACCCGGCUCAGAUUAAGCCCUGGAUAGAUGCACAUCCGAGCAGGAAGGUGGAAGAGGCCGGUUUGACAAACCUGAUCAACUCACCAGCUGGCAGAAGGAAGAUACCAGCAGAGAAGGGCCGUGGCUCAGUGGCAGAACGUCGGCUUUACCUGCAGAAGGUCCAGGAUACAGAUAUGGAUAUGGAUAUGGAUAUGGAUACGGAUACGGAUACGGAUACGGAUACGGAUACAGAUACGGCGGAUAUUUCUAUACCGCUUUUCAACAAAAGUUCCCCAAACGGUUUAUAUCGAUAAAAAUAAAUAAAUGGCUCCCCAAAGGGUUCACAAUCUUACAUAUGAUAGACACCCCUCGGGUGCCAAAUUUUGGGGCACAGAGGUGCAGGUGCCACCCUCUGCAGUGAAUAACCGCCUCUGUUCCCAGUAGCAGCUGGGGCAGAGGGAGCGGCGAGGAAGCAGAUUAAACUUGUUAAAAAUUCAGAAAAUGCCCCACAGCUGCUGCCUCGCCCUACUGCCUCGCCCUGUGUGGAGUCCACCUCUUCCCCUCCGCUGGCCGAUGUGCAUGCACAUGGUAAAAUGUGUCGCCAGACUGACCCCUCGAAUGGCCACGGCACAUGUACACCAGCCAGCCAAGCAGCAGUGGCAGAUUCUGCCCGGAGCUGGGCAGUGGUGUGGGGCACCUGUGGCAGGACAUCUUAGGGGUUUUUAAAGGUUUCAUCUGCUUCCACACUGCCCUCCUAUGGUGUGGUCAUUUGGCCAGCGCCCACUACCAAAUGAGCUUGCCCCCCAUCACAUUCAGUUAAAAUUAUGUUGUGUGUUUGUGUUUAUUCAUAUGCCGCCCUUCCUCCUAAGACCCCAGAGGUAGUUCACAAGAUAAAAACAAUUCAAUGAAAGCAUAAAAACAGAAUAAAUGGAGCUGAACAUUUAAAAAGAGCAAGGGGCAGCUCCCUGGCCAAAAACCAGAAGAGAAAGGGCGUUCUUCACUUUCCUCCAAAAGGCUGGAGGAGAGGGUGCCAAAAACCUGAGUCCAGCCCGAUCCCUCACCCUGUCUAAAGUGCUUGCACAUAGGUCACGUAGUCGGAGUUAAUGCCUGUUUAUACUCCUCAGAAAGGAUUACAUGGCAAAUUAGGCCGUCCUUGUAGACAAACUGGGUUCUGCUUUGAUUUAAAGCCUUGGCAGGAAUACGACUAUAGCCCAAGAAUGUUAUGCAUUUCUGAAAUCUAAACUGAUGGUGCUGUCUCCCAGAUGGCGGAAUGCUCCCCCAAGCCUGCCCUGCCAGGGGAAAGAUUUCUGCGGCUGUACAGACUGGCUGCCACUGAGUCUCGCUUCGGGUUGAAUCUCGUUUGCGUCUCACUUUGGGUUGAAUCGCUUUGGGUUGAGUCUGUCACCGAGUCUCGCUUUGGGUUGAAUCUCAUGGAGUCUUGUUGAAUCUUACUGAAUCUCGUUGAAUCUCACUGAGCCUCACUUUUGUGUUUAAUCUGUCACUGAGUCUUGCUUUGGGUUGAAUCUCAUUUGAGUCUCGCUUUGGGUUGAAUCAUUUUGGGUUGAAUCUGUCACAGAGUCUCGCUUUGGGUUGAAUCUCCGGCCCACAAAAGGCUGUUUUGGAGGCUCAGACUCAAUGAAUGGGUGGAUCUUGCGAAUGAGCUCAGUGACUGUCAUGAAAUGAACUCUACUUGUUGGGAAGGCCUGGUGAAAAGUGCUGUUCUGCAGCAGAUCUGUGGACUUGCUGAUUCAUUCAGCCAAGAGGUUGAGAGAGCAACUGAACUUCAUCAAACGGAGCUUCGUAUUCAGUCCAAAAAAUGUCAGUUGUCUCUCACUGGAAAGGAUUCUCCCUCCUUCCAGGACAUGUCAGCUUAAGACUACAAAAAGAAGAAGAAAAUGAAGUUGUUACAAUGAACAGAUUGAUUCAGUAAUUGCAGGUUUGAAAUGUGGAUUUUUUAAAUUGGAGCCGUUUGCUCUGAAUGAACGUGUUCAGCCAUAAUUGUGUACACCAAUUCUGUCAGGAAAUGGGCAUCAGAUGAUGAUGCUUCGAACAACAAAGUGGUGUUCCCAUCCUAUUUACACAUAGACGGAGAUAAUAAAGGAUCUUCAUUCAGUG